GAAGUGUUAGUAAACUAUUACAUUAUCUUGUCAAGAUAGAAUUACGGGUGAAAACCCCGUACAUUUCU
rnacentral:tRNA from 1 species